rnacentral:tRNA from 1 species
GGGCCGGUAGAUCAGUUGGAAGAUCACUCGCUUGGCAAAGGGGAAAAUCCAGAUUGCGAGAGGUCGCGGGUUCGAGUCCCGCCCGGUCCA